ensembl:lncRNA
UUACGACAUGACACGCCUCGAUGUAACUGGAGGGUCCGUUUUUUAAACUUUUCUCCAAUACUAUAGAGCCAUUACCAUGUCAUCAACGCUUGAAUAGAACCUAGUUCACACCCCCGAUUUUGAAGUCAACACAGUUGCUACAGUCCCAUUAAUUUUCUUUGUACGGAAUGGGCACACUGAAGAAACGACAGGCAGAGGGACCAGGCCACAGCAUUGUCACAGAGGUGAUGGAAGAUUUCAUAAAGCAGCUGAGGGACAACUUCUCCACCAGAUUUGAAGACAACAGCAUGCCCAAGGAUAUCAUUGCGUUUAUUUACAUGCUAAAAUUGCUACUGAUCUCAUGCGACAUCCACAAGAUCGUGUCCGAGGGGAAAUUCAACUUUUUCCGUUGAAGGGUACAUGGAGGAGAGGCUCCCCUGACAGAUUCUCUUAAUGCCCUGUUUGGGAUCAACGAGGAUACAAUUCUUCAGGCCCUGGGUGAUCAAUCUAGCUCUUCUGGCUUACCUGGAUUGGCCAGAUCUGUUGUCAGAGAUGUUGUGAGUCAAGUGAGCCAUGCAAGCCACUGAAAAGAUGAUAUCUGUUAUCUCUGCCAAGCUACAAUGAUUUGGUCACUGGACAGGUUGUGCCUCAAGCAAAGACCACUCCAUCUAAGGAGGACAGGGACAUUGAGGCUUGACUUAC